rnacentral:rRNA from 1 species
UACAGAGACUGCAAGCGUUAUUCGGAUUCACUGGGCGUAAAGGGUGCGCAGGCGGCCAAGUGUGUCAGAUGUGAAAUCCCGAGGCUCAACCUCGGAACUGCGUCUGAAACUACUUGGCUAGAGUAUUGGAGAGGGUAACGGAAUUCACGGUGUAGCAGUGAAAUGCGUAGAUAUCGUGAGGAACACCAGAGGCGAAGGCGGUUACCUGGACAAUUACUGACGCUCAGGCACGAAAGCGUGGGGAGCAAAAGGGAUUAGAUACCCCUGUAGUCCACGCCCUAAACGGUGCACACUAGGUCUUGGCGGAUUCGAUCCCACCAGGGCCCAAGCUAACGCGUUAAGUGUGCCGCCUGAGGACUACGGUCGCAAGACUA